AUUGAACGCUGGCGGCAUGCCUAACACAUGCAAGUCGAGCGGUAGAGAGGAGCUUGCUUCUCUUGAGAGCGGCGGACGGGGGAGGAAUGCCUAGGGAUCUGCCUAGUGGUGGGGUAUAACGUUCGGAAAGGGAAGCUAAUACCGCAUACGUCCUACGGGAGAAAGCGGGGGACCUUCGUGGCUCGCGCCAUUAGAUGAGCCUCGGUGGGCUUAGCUAGUUGGUGAGGUAGCGGCUCACCAAGGCGAGGAUCCGUAGCUGGUCUGAGAGGAUGGUCGGUAACACUGGAACUGAGACACGGUCAAAACUCCUACGGGAGGCAGCAGUGGGGAAUAUUGGACAAUGGGCGAAAGCCUGAUCCAGCCAUGCCGCGUGUGUGAAGAAGGUUUUCGGAUUGUAAAGCACUUUAAGUUGGGAGGAAGGGUAGUAACUUAAUACGUUGCUACUUUGACGUUACCGAACGAAUAAGCACCGGCUAACUUCGUGCCAGCAGCCGCCGUAAUAC
rnacentral:rRNA from 1 species